GGUUUAGUUCGAGUCUGAGGGAGUGUCAGGCACGUUUAUAAACCGACCAAUUUAGGUAAUUCGUGGAUUGGUGCGUACUGGAGACACGACCCGUUUCAAUCGAUUCAGUUCGAUUUUGUGAACUGGCUCGACCGGUUCACUAAGAAGAUCCGGUUAAAUAUAACGAUUCGUUCGCGAACCGGACAUCACUACUCGCUUGCCAAUCGCUAUUAACAUAAAAGAAGUUACCGCUAGAGCCAUAACACAGGAUCUCUGGAUCUUCUGAGAUCUGUUCCUCCAACUACACAGGAAUUUACCAACAGUUUAACUCUUCCCGCAACAAUUAGUGAAAGGUUUUCUGAAAGAAAGCUGAAAACAUGACUGAUGCAGAACCCUGCGAAAUAAAAUUGGAAGAUACUGAAGAACAAAUAGACUUGAUAGAAGAGAACAAAGAGAUUGAAGAACUGAUUAAAGAGGGGGAGAACCAUCAUGUCAAAACUGAAGAAGCAUCCUGGAGAUCCUCCUUGACAAUAAGAGACAAAACAUGGCCUGAGUGUGAAACAAAAGCAGUUAAAAGCAGUAAAACAUUUUUUAGACCACAUUUCCUGAAGAACCACCUCAAAGUCCAUACAAAGGACAAGACUUACAUAUGUUAUUUAUGUGGAAAGAGUUUUAGUCACAUGGCUGCUUUAAAGAUACAUCAGAAAAGACACAGCGGUGUGAAGGAUCAUGCUUGCUCUGAAUGUGGGAAGACUUUUUUUACAUAUGCUGCUAUGAAAGUGCACCAGACAGUUCACACUACAGAAAAACCUUACAAGUGUUCACAAUGUGACAAGAGAUUCAAACGGUCAGAAUAUCUGAGAAUACAUAAGAGGAUCCACACUGGAGAGAAGCCGUAUACAUGUGUACAAUGUGGGAAGAGCUUCAGACUAAAAGAAAUGCUUAAUCGUCACAUAGAUAUUCACAAUGGAGAGAAGCCGCACACUUGUGAACAAUGUGGAAAGAAUUUCACACAAAAAAGUAACCUUAUCAAACACAUGAAAAGACACAGUGGAGAGAAGCAACACCCAUGUGAUCAGUGUGGGAAAACUUUUGUACGUAAAGGAACCCUUAAGGACCACAUGAGAAUCCACACUGGAGAGAAUCUUCACACAUGUGAUCAGUGUGGGAAAACAUUUGUUUUUAAAGGAAACCUUAAAGACCACAUGAAUAUCCACACAGGAGAGAGGCCAUACAGGUGUGAUCAGUGUGAGAAGAGUUUCAAACAAAAAGGUGCCCUUAAUGUACACAUGAGGAUCCACACAGGAGAGAAGCCACACACAUGUGAUCAGUGUGGGAAGAGUUUCAGACUUAAGAAAACUCUUAACGAACACAUGAUGAUCCACACGGGAGAGAAGCCAUAUGCAUGUGAUCAGUGUGGGAAGAGUUUCAGACUAAAGAAAGCUCUAAGUGAACAUGUCAUGAUCCACACCGGAGUGAAGCCGUAUGCAUGUGAUCAGUGUGGGAAGAGUUUCAGACUUAAGCAAACUCUUAACGAACACAUGAUGAUCCACACUGGAGAGAAGCCAUUCACAUGUGAUCGGUGUGGGAAGAGUUUCACACAAAAACAAGCCCUUGAUGUACACAUGAGGAUCCACACUGGAGAGAAGCCAUACACAUGUGAUCAGUGUGGAAAAAGUUUCUCACAAAAAGGAGCACUUGAUUUACACACGAGGAUCCACACUGGAGAAAAGCCGUACACAUGUAAUCAGUGUGGAAAGAGUUUCAGACUUAAGCAAACCCAUAAUGACCACAUGAGGAUUCACACUGGAGAGAAGCCGUACACAUGUGAUCAGUGUGGAAAGAGUUUCAGAAAAUGUGAUGUUUUUAAAAAACAUCUGCUUACUCAUUCUAGAGAGAGACUAGAAAACUGUGACCAAAGCAGAAGAACAUUUCUAAAGGACCGCUUGAAAGCUCAUACAAAGGAGAAGCCUUAUAUAUGUUAUUUAUGUGGAAAGAGUUUUAGUCAGAUGAUUGCAUUAAAAAUACAUCAGAAAAGACACAUUGGUGUGAAGGAUCAUGUUUGCUCUAAGUGUGGGAAGACAUUUUUUACAUAUGGUGCAAUGAAAGUGCACCAGACAGUUCACACUACAGAAACACCUUAUAAGUGUUCACAUUGUGACAAGAGAUUCAAACGGCCAGAUUAUCUGAGAAUACAUGAGAGGAUCCACACUGGAGAGAAACCAUACACAUGUGAACAAUGUGGGAAGAGCUUCAGACUAAAAGAAAUGCUUAAUCGACACAUUGAUAUUCACAAUGGAGAGAAGCCACACACAUGUGAACAAUGUGGAAAGAAUUUCACACAAAAAAGUAACCUUAUCAAACACCUAAAAAGACACAGUGGAGAGAAGCAACACACAUGUGAUCAGUGUGGGAAGGGUUUCUUAGACAAAGGAAACCUUAAAUACCACAUGAAUAUCCACACUGGAGAGAAGCCACACACAUGUGAUCAGUGUGGCAAAAGUUUUGCACAUAAAGGAAACCUUUUCAAACACAUGAAAAGACACUCUGGGGAGAAGCCACACACAUGUGAUCAAUGUGGGAAGAGUUUCGCAGAAAAGGGAACCCUCAAUGAACACAUGAGGAUCCACACUGGAGAGAAGCCGUACACAUGUGAUCAGUGUGGGAGGAGUUUCACACAAAGAGGAACCCUUAUUGCACACAAGAAAACCCACAGUGGAGAGAAGUCAUUUACAUGUGAUCAGUGUGGGAAAAGUUUCACACAAAGAGGAACCCUUAUUGCACACAAGAAAACCCACAGUGGUGAGAAGUCAUAUACCUGUGAUCAGUGUGGGAGGAGUUUUAUACAAAGAGGAACCCUUAUUGCACACAAGAAAACCCACAGUGGAGAGAAGUCAUAUACCUGUGUUCAGUGUGGGUUGAGUUUCAAACGAAAAGAUAGGUUUCAUGAUCACAUUAAAAUCCACACUGGAGAGAAGCCAUACACAUGUGAUCAGUGUGGGAAGAAUUUCAAACGAAAAGAUAGGCUUCAUGAUCACAUGAGGAUCCACACUGGAGAGAAGCCAUACACAUGUGAUCAAUGUGGAAGGAGUUUCACACAAAGAGGAACACUUGAUGCACACAAGAAAACCCACACGGGAGAGAAGUCCUACACAUGUGAUCAGUGUGGAAAGAGUUUCACACAAAGAGGAAACCUUAAUGCACACAAGAAAACCCACAGUGAAGAGAAGCCAUACACAUGUGAUCAGUGUGGGAAGAAAUUCAAACGAAAAGAAAGUCUUCAUGAUCACAUGAAAAUCCACACUGGAGAGAAGCCGUACACAUGUGAUCAAUGUGGAAGGAGUUUCAUACGAAGAGUAACCCUUUACAAACACAAGAAAACCCACAGUGGGGAAAAGCCGUUCAUGUGUGAUCAGUGUGGGAGGAGUUUCACUCAAAGAGCAAACCUUAUUGCACACGAAAAAACCCACAAUGGAGAGAAGUCACAUACAUGUGCUCAGUGUGGGAAGAAUUUCAAACAAAAAGAAAGCCUUCAUGAUCACAUGAGGACACACACUGGAGAGAAGCCGUACACAUGUGAUCAGUGUGGGAAGAGUUUCAUACGAAGAGUAACCCUUUACAAACACAAGAAAACACACAGUGGAGAGAGGCCGUACACGUGUGAUCAGUGUGAGAAGAGUUUCACCCUCAGAGAAAACCUUAUUGCGCACAAGAAAACCCACAGUAGAGAGAAGUCUUAUACAUGUGAUCAGUGUGGGAAGAAUUUCAAACUAAAAGAAAGCCUUCAUGAGCACAUGAGGAUCCACACUGGAGAGAAGCCAUACACAUGUGAUCAUUGUGGGAGGAGUUUCAUGCGAAGAGCAACCCUUCACAAACACAAGAAAACCCACAGUGGGGAGAAGCCGUACACAUGUGAUCAGUGUGGGAAGAGUUUCACACAAAGAGGAAAUCUUAUUUCACACAAGGAAACCCACAGUGGAGAAAAGCCGUACACAUGUGAUCAAUGUGGGAAGAGUUUCACACAAAGAAAAAACCUUAUUGCACACAAGAAAACCCACAGUGGAGAGAAGUCAUAUACAUGUGAUCAGUGUGGAAAGAAUUUCAAACAAAAAGAAAGCCUUCAUGUUCACUUGAGGAUCCAUUCUGGAGAGAAGCCGUACACAUGUGAUCGGUGUGGGAGGAGUUUCAUGCGAAGAGUAACUCUUUACAAACACAAAAAAACCCACACUGGACUGAAACAGCACCAGACAGUUCACACUACAGAAACACCUUACAAGUGUUCACACUGUGACAAGAGAUUCAAACGAUCAUCACAACUUCAAAUACAUGAGAAGAUCCACACUGGAGAAAAGCCUCAUCACUGCCAUUCAUGUGGACAGAGAUUCACUCAAUUAUCUUCUUUAAUCUGUCAUAAAUUACAUGUGUGCAUGUCUGAAAUUACAGUAAUUGGAUGAGGUUCUGAUCCUGUACAGGUGCUAGCAAAAGUCUUGAUGCCCAUACACACCGUUAGUAAAGUGGGAUUUCAGAAAAUGAUCCGCACAGUAGGCAAGAGGUACCAGCUGCUCUCUUGAAACUGUUUCAAUCAAGUUGCUAUCCCAAAACUUUAUAACUUGCACCGAGAUGAAUUUCAAAAGGAAAUGCCUACUGUGAAGUUUUUUUCAACAACUACGGACCUGUGGUAAAGCAGGACAAGUAAACCAUUUAUUAGAUUGUGCACUUUGUCGCCGAGGAGUUUGAAUUGAAAAGUCACUGCCUGCAAACAUUGUAUUUCCCCGACGACCACAUCGGAGAGAACAUAGCCUUGUGCUUGAGUGAGGCACUGGCACCAACAUUAUCAAAGCGGUAGAGCUUGAUCAGUGGACUAGAAUCCAGCGCUUUGGGCAUAGACUUAAUUUGGCCAUUGAAAAUGCGCUGAAAGAAAAUGCACAAUGCAUUAGCGGAGCUACUGGUAUAUGCAGGAAGAUUGUUAGCCACUUCUCCCAUAGUUGGAAGAAAAGAGUGACCUUGAGGGAAGCACAACGAGAGCUCAACCUCCCAGAGCAUGCCAUGGUGACAGACUGCUCAACACGAUGGGGUUCCACUCAGAAAAUGAUAGCAAGAGUCCUAGAGCAGCAAAGUGCAUUGUCACAAGUUCUCUCUACAGACUGCAAAGUGCGAGGCCUACUCCCUUCAUGGCAGGACCUGGAGGUCUUGGAAUCUGUAAACAAGUCAUUAAGCCUACUCCAGGACUUUACAAGUGCCUUAUUGGGUGAACGUUAUGUGAGCAUAUCUUGUGUGAAACCUCCUGUGCAUCUUCUGAACACCUCAGUGAUGGCUGAUGAUGAAACAGAUGCUGACCUGACCAAAUCACUGAACUCAAAAAUUGUUAGCUAACUCAACAACAAAUAUACAGGCACACAGGGCUUGUUAAACUUCACAGCUUUCCUAGACCUAAGGUUCAAAACACAAUAAAUCUCUGAAGAAGAGACCUAGACCUUAAAGGAUAUUCACCACCAGCAAAUCUGUAGCCCAAAGCACUGCAGUGAUGGAGAAUGAUAGCAUGGAUGUGGAAAGUCCACCUGUUGUUAAAGCCCAAAAGAAAAUUCUGGACAAUUUCUUCAAGGAAAUCACAUGCACAGCACCAAGAGUAUCAUUGACCAUGGGGGCAGGAACAUGUGCAACAUGUACACUUACACUUCAUUUAAUUUAAUUAGGCAAAAUAUUUUAACAGUUCAUGCUCAUUCUGAGCGCCAAAUAUGUUUUUAGUUGAUGUUUUUCAUUAAGCAGCUGCAUGCAGUGUAAAAUGACGUUCAGGACUGAGCCAGGGAUAGAUAAAUAAUUUUAACACCUAAUUUAUUCUCUUUUUUUCACAAUUAACCUCAUCUAUAUAAAUAUACAGCAUCACAGUAUCUUUUUUUCAGCCAAAAGUAAUGAAGUAUAUUUAAGAUAUUUUUGGUCAUUGAGGGUUUCUGUAAAAAAAAUAGUAAUAGAUCAUAUAAAUUACUAUUAAAAGAUAAUACUACUACUAAUUCUACUAUCAUACUAAUGUGAUGAAGAGGCUGAGGCGGUCGGAUCCAUCUGCAGUAUUUUAUUAACACAGGCAAGCCAGCAGAGAUAGACAGUCAUAGAACUCAAGAACACUAGGCAGGGCCAGUAUAAAUAACUCAAAGCAGCACACAGGUAAGGGCAAAUCCAAGAAUCUUAACUCAAAACAGGCCUUGGUAAGGGGCUGGCAGCUUAGGUUCAAAAACUAGAUCAGAGUCCAAGUCAAAAUCACAAGAGCAAACACGAGAGAUAAGCUAGAGAAAGAGUUUGAGUAGAUCAAGACUUCACAAAUGAACAAUGAGCAGAGCAGUCCAGAUAAAGGGGAGCUGAGGUGAUAAUGCAAUGAUAAGGAGAUUAAACAGGAUAUAAUGAGCAGAGAUGGAUAAUGGGAAAAUCAGUCCUAAUACGGAGAAGAGAGGCAUUGUUGAGCAUUCCAUGACAGUUUUUGAUUUGUAAUAAAUUUGUAAAUGCC